rnacentral:rRNA from 1 species
GACGAACGCUGGCGGCGUGCCUAAUACAUGCAAGUAGAACGCAGAAGGAGGAGCUUGCUUCUCUGGAUGAGUUGCGAACGGGUGAGUAACGCGUAGGUAACCUGCCUUGUAGUGGGGGAUAACUAUAGGAAACGAUAGCUAAUACCGCAUAAGAGUAGAUGUUGCAUGACAUUGGCUGGAAAGGUGCAAUUGCAGCACUAGCAGAUGGGCCUGCGUUGUAUUAGCUAGGUGGUGGGGUAACGGCUCACCAAGGCGAGGAUACAUAGCCGACCUGAGGUGGGGGUUGGCCGCCCUGGGACUGUGACACGGCCCAGACGCCUUCGGGAGGCAGCCGUAGGGCAUCUUCGGCAAUGGGUGGAAAUCUUACCGCGCAACGCCGCGGGCGUGAAGAAGGUUUUCGGAUCCUAAAGCUCUGUUGUCAGGGAAUAACGAGCUUGCGACUGGAACGUUCACACUGUGACGGUAACUUACCAGAAAGCAACGGCUAACUACGUG